rnacentral:rRNA from 1 species
AUUGAACGCUGGCGGAAUGCUUUACACAUGCAAGUCGAACGGUAGAGGGGGCAACCCCUCGAGAGUGGCGAACGGGUGAGUAAUAUAUCGGAACGUGCCCAGUCGCGGGGGAUAACGUAGCGAAAGUUACGCUAAUACCGCAUACGAUCUAAGGAUGAAAGCGGGGGAUCGCAAGAACUCGCGCGAAUGGAGCGGCCGAUAUCAGAUUAGGUAGUUGGUGGGGUAAAGGCUCACCAAGCCAACGACCUGUAGCUGGUCUGAGAGGACGACCACCCACACGGGAACUGAGAAACGGUCCAGACUCCUAGGGGAGGCAGCAGUGGGGAAUUUUGGACAAUGGAGGGAAGUCGAAUCCAGCCAUUCGGCGUGCGGGAUGAAGGCCCUCGGGUUGUAAACUGCUUUUGUACGGAACGAAAAGGUCUCUCUUAAUACGGGGGGCUCAUGACGGUACCGUAAGAAUAAGCACCGGCUAACUACGUGCCAGCAGCCGCCGUAA